GACGAACGCUGGCGGCGUGCUUAACACAUGCAAGUCGAACGGAAAGGCCCAGCUGUUGUGGGGUGCUCGAGUGGCGAACGGGUGAGUAACACGUGAGUAACCUGCCCUUGACUUUGGGAUAACUUCAGGAAACUGGGGCUAAUACCGGAUAGUAGCUCCUACUGCAUGGUGGGGGUUGGAAAGUUUCGGCGGUUGGGGAUGGACUCGCGGCUUAUCAGCUUGUUGGUGGGGUAGUGGCUUACCAAGGCUUUGACGGGUAGCCGGCCUGAGAGGGUGACCGGCCACAUUGGGACUGAGAUACGGCCCAGACUCCUACGGGAGGCAGCAGUGGGGAAUAUUGCACAAGGGGCGGAAGCCUGAUGCAGCAACGCCGCGUGCGGGAUGACGGCCUUCGAGUUGUAAACCGCUUUCGCCUGUGACGAAGCGUGAGUGACGGUAAUGGGUAAAGAAGCACCGGCUAACUACGUG
rnacentral:rRNA from 1 species